rnacentral:rRNA from 1 species
UGAGUAAUGUCUGGGAAACUGCCUGAUGGAGGGGGAUAACUACUGGAAACGGUAGCUAAUACCGCAUAACGUCGCAAGACCAAAGAGGGGGACCUUCGGGCCUCUUGCCAUCAGAUGUGCCCAGAUGGGAUUAGCUAGUAGGUGGGGUAACGGCUCACCUAGGCGACGAUCCCUAGCUGGUCUGAGAGGAUGACCAGCCACACUGGAACUGAGACACGGUCCAGACUCCUACGGGAGGCAGCAGUGGGGAAUAUUGCACAAUGGGCGCAAGCCUGAUGCAGCCAUGCCGCGUGUAUGAAGAAGGCCUUCGGGUUGUAAAGUACUUUCAGCGGGGAGGAAGGUGUUGAGGUUAAUAACCUCAGCAAUUGACGUUACCCGCAGAAGAAGCACCGGCUAACUCCGUGCCAGCAGCCGCGGUAAUACGGAGGGUGCGAGCGUUAAUCGGAAUUACUGGCUGUAAAGCGCACGCAUGCGGUCUGUCAAGUCUGAUGUGAGAUCCCCGGG